rnacentral:rRNA from 1 species
GCCCGUCAAGUCAUGAAAGUGGGCAGCACCCGAAGACGGUGGCCUAACCCUUGUGGGGGGAGCCGUCUAAGGUGAGGCUCGUGAUUGGGACUAAGUCGUAACAAGGUAGC